GAGGCGCAGUCGGGAGUUACUUCGACUCAUAAUCGACAGGAUGCGGGAUCGAAUCCCGCCGCCCCU
rnacentral:tRNA from 1 species